GGCGACUCCGGGCCCGCCCCCGCCCGGAGCCCCGCCGGCAAUGGCGCCCGCCGCCUCCCGGAGGUGAUGCCAGGCGAUGCCAGGCGAUGCCAGGCGAUGCCCGCCGGUCCCUUCCCGGUCCCGGCGCCUAUCACAGCAAAGCCGUCAGUCCCUCGCCCACCGCCCCCCUCUCCUCCUCGCCCGCAGAAAGGGGUGGGCACUGCCCCUGCCCCACCGGAGGAGGAGGAGGAAGAAAGGAGGAGGAGGGAGAGGGGCUUGGGGGCCACUAGGACCCCGGCCUCCUCCCGGUGAAGCCCAAGGAUGCUCCCCCUCCGAGCUUCGCUGGCAAGAACUGUGACCUGGGGAGGAGGUGUGUGACCUUGUUUUGUGGAGUGACAAGUUUACUGAACACGGUGAUCUCCGACAAUAUAAAACACGGAGAUAACAGGAAGAAAAUGAAGUCAACCGUUUCCUAGUCCUAAAACCGCAUUGAUUUCAAAAUGAAGUUCCCGUUAAUGAAACGGAAGAAUGUGAAGAAAAUCAAAGGCUGCGAGAAUGAGGAGAAUAUGGCUACCCCUAUGGGACUGGAAGAUCGAUGCCGAAUUUUGUCAUCUAGUAACCAAGCAGAGAUCACCCUGCUGUCGGCUCUCUACGUGUCCACUGACCAUUCAUUCAUUUAAUCGUAUUUAUUGAGUGCUUACUGUGUGCAGAGUACUGUAUUAAGCGUUUG